UAAGGAUUCACUGACAUGACACGGCAGGUGAUUUUUCGUAACUCCCACCGUAACAGUUUACUUCAGCCUAUAUCCAUAGUUAAUCAGCGUUUUACUGCCAAUCUUAGCUGACGUGUCUCGUCAUUGGCCACGACAUUCUGGGGGAGGAGCUUAGAGAGGCGGAGAAACGGAAGUCGGAAAACAGAUUUAAACCAAGUUUGAACCGUCGCCUCUGUUUGCCGGUGCUGUGAGAAAACGCCGCUAUCGAAGAGGUCUGGAUGCUAAGACAGACUCUGGAGCUGUUUUUUGUCUUUAACGAGGAGGUUUUGAUGCUAAAACAAACUCUGAAGCUGUUUUUUUUGUCGAACACGAGUGAGACUGGACGCUGAACACAUCUGCGGUGCGAAGGUUUACUGGCUCAGCUGCUGCAGCCUGGACAGAAACACCAGCUCUCACCUUACAAACCCAACAGGAUUCAAACUUCAACCAUUAAAACACAGAGAGAAGAGACAGACGUGAAGACAUUUCCAGAAGGUCUUCAGCUGCUGUCGUCCUCUCCCCCUGCAGAGACAAGAACGCAUGUUAAUCACAGAAACUGACCUUAUUCAUUUCUGAUACCUGAUUACAAUGAUUUACACUAAACUUUUCAGUUCAGGAUAUCAGUGCUCAAAUCCAAACCAUUACUGUUAUACUGUUCAUAUUGUUUGUACUUUUUACAAAUUAUAUAUACUCUUGUUUUAUAUCUUGUCUUGUUCAAGUCAUGCCUUUAUCUAUUUUUGCUGCGAUGAGACUAAAAAGGAUUAUCUUACUCUUACCCAAAUAAAUAGUUCUGAACACUGAAUAUUUUCUGUCUGUUAAAU